UAGAUAGAUAGAUAGAUAGAUAGAUAGAUAGAUAGAUAGAUAGAUAGAUAGAUAGAUAGAUAGAUAGAAAGAAAUGAUCUAGUGAUAUGAUCUAGGGCUGCCACGGUUAGUCGACGCGUCACGACGACGUCGACCAAAAAAAGUUGGCGAUGAAUUUAAUAGUCGACGCGUCGUUUAUCGUAUGAGCAUUUUUAAAAUCUCGCCUGCUGCAGCACGUUCGGCAUUUGCUUCCUGCCUCUUUGCUCAACGCACCUGCGCACUAGUCUCCAUCCGUGUCAGCCGCUGCUUAUGCAAGUCGAGGCACAUGCGCAGUGGUGCCACUGCAGCUCAGCCUUCGAAUCAGAAUCACCAGAGAAAUAACACAUCAUGGCGGAGCUCACAGGUUUGGGAGCAUUUUAUGAAAACAGCUGAGAAGCAAGUAGAGUGCAAAACUCUGUACGGUGAAACUCUCGGAGCACGUCGGCGAUGCACGAGCAUCUUAAAAAAAGGCACGUGACUGCGGAGAACGAAGAGUCGCCUCUUGCUGAAGGAAAGCGGAAACGGACGAGUUUCUUACAAGGCCAAACACGUGCACACCGCAACAAGCCAACAUCCUGACCGAGGCCAUUUUGAACACGCUGGUAACGGACACGAGACCCCGUCCGUGGUCGGCGAUCACGGUUUUAAAGAUAUGAUCAAGAAGUUCAACCCAGAAUACUAUGAAAACUAUUCACCAGGUUAAUCACAUUUCACCACCAUGAUGGAAAGGAAAUACGAGACAACCUACGAAAAGCUCCAGGCCUCAGAGCAGAGGGUACAUGAGCUUCCUUAUGGAGUCUGAGCCACGUUCCAGCAUCAAAAUGAGCCUGAGGGACAAAGCCCUCUCGGGCCGUUGGCUCCCCGGAAUCUACCCACUUGGCUUGGGCCUGUUUUGGCAGACGAGGACGCAGAGACAAGUCCUGAUGACUAUCAGGACCAAAAAUCUACUUUAAAGCAAGGCCAACGUGGGACAUUUGAUAUUUCUGAGCUGGUAAGCAGCUCUUUAUAAGCUAAAAGACAAGAAAAAAGGUAAAAGUAAACAAGGUUGAUGGACAAUAAAACGCAUGCAUUCCCAUCUGACAUGAAACUGCAUUGUGAACUCAUUAUCUUAUCAACACCCUGGUCAUAAACUGAAAGCAUCAAAGUACGCAGUAAGUGGACUCGGCUGUAAACCAAACCUGGUUCUACCGAGGUGCUUCUCAGGAUUUAAAGUAAACAAGCAAAAAGACCACCGAGGGCAACAAAAACAAUUUUAAACGAUCCACAAGCAGAAGCAGCUCAGAAAAGCGGCAAAGAAUCAACAAAUCAGAAGAACUCGGAAAGUUUCUAUAGUCAUCAUCCCUAACUGAAAUUUAACUUUCAGCUAAUCUUAGCUUCAUAAAAUGAUAAAUGACCCGCACUUGUAUAGCGCCUCUCAGAGUAAGGACUCCAAAGCGCUUUACACUACAGUGUAUCAUUCAUCCAUUCACACACACACUGAUGGUGAUGAGCUACGAUGUAGCCACAGCUGCCCUGGAGGCGACUACAGCAGACCAAGCGAAAGGUCACCAGGGCUCCGAGUGGAAACAUGUCCCAUCACCUCCUCAGUGCAGCUGCAGCGGGUUUGGCAUCACAAGUGUCACUGGGUGUAAAUACCAGGAAUAAUUUACAGCAGCUCAGCUCUGAUGGCUCUGACACAGGCUGGGAUCCUUUACGCCACCUCAGCACACAGAGAGCCGUUUACAGACGGUGCACUAAUGCUCCUAGCUUGCUUGGUCAUGCUGAACUUGUGGGCCUUGCGUUGAACCAAAGAUGUCAGCUGGUCUGAAGCCAAAGAGGAAGGAUGUCACCUCCUGAUCACCACAGAAAGGUAGCCCAUCCAGCUCCCAACUGUCUCACGUAGUCAUUAAAUUAGUCAUCGGGCAUGCCCACUGCAUCACUUCCCCAAAACGAUUUGCAUAAAAUGAAAUCCAAGGACCGGAUAUGACCACAAGUAGUUUCGUCCAAUGAUUAAAAAGAAGAGGAAGGCUCGUCGCUACUUCUUAAAUUCGUCUGAUUGUGAAUGAACAUGCUAGCAGCGCUAACGAACGAGAAUGUGGCACAAAUCCUAGCCGGACAGAUCAAUUUAUGUAAUAAAUGUUCAAAACUAUCACCAAACUGACCAGGGAAGUUAAAAAGUGAAAUAGUUUGGCUCUCGGAAGGCGUGGAAACCCACCCCAACG